rnacentral:rRNA from 1 species
UAAAAGAUUAAAUAAUUAUAGUUAUAGUGAAUUAGUAUUGUAAAAGAUUAUUUAAAAUUAUUAAUAAGUAAAUUUUAUUUAUUGUACCUUGGGUAUCAGGGUUUAUUAAUAAAAAAAUAAAAAUUUAUUUUUCUCGAAUUUAAAAGGGUAAAUAUAGUAUUUAAUUUAAUGUAAAAAAAUUAUUUAAAAUAUUAUAUUAGAAGUGAAACAUUAUUCGAUUUUAAAGAUAUCUAGUUAUCUUAGAAAUAAAUUUAAUUUAUAAAAUUAUAAUAUUUAAUUUAAUUUAAAAAUUAAAUAAUUUUAGUUUUAAAUAUUUAUAGGGAUAAGCUUGUAAAUAAAAUUUAUAAUUAUUAAUAUUAAAAUAUAAAUUUGUAGGGUUAGAAAUAUCCAUUAAUUUAAUAAUGUUAUAAUUUAUUUAUUUAAAAAAAAUAUUUUAUUUAAUUUAAUUUUUUAUAGGAUUAGUUAUUUUAAUAAAUAAAAUUAUGAAAUAAUGAUAAAAUUAGUAUAUUUAUUUAUAAAAGUAAAAUUUAUUGAGAGGUUAUUUUAAGGAAUUCGGCAAAUAUAAUAUUCACCUGUUUAUCAAAAACAUGUCUUUUUGAAUAUAAUUUUAAGUCUAAUCUGCCCAUUGAAAAUUAUUUAAAAGGCCGCGGUAUUUUGACUGUGCAAAGGUAGCAUAAUCAAUAGUUUCUUAAUUAGGAGCUGGAAUGAAUGAUUGAAUGAAAUAUUAACUGUCUUAUUUUAAAUGAUUUAGAAUUUAAUUUUUAAGUUAAAAAGCUUAAAUAGAAUUAAAGGACGAGAAGACCCUUUAAAGCUUUAUAUUGAUGUUUAUUUAUAAGUAUAAGAAAAUUUUAAUUAAAAAUAAAUAUGAGUAUUUUAUUGGGGUGAUAGGAAAAUUUAUUGAACUUUUUUUUAUUUUAAAACAUAAAUUAUUGAAUAAUUGAUCCAUUUUUAAUGAUUAUAAGAUUAAGUUACUUAAGGGAUAACAGCGUAAUGUUUUUAGAGAGAACAUAUCGAUAAAAAAGAUUGCGACCUCGAUGUUGGAUUAAGAUUAUUUUUAGGUGCAGAAGUUUAAAAAUUUGGUCUGUUCGACCAUUUAUUCUUACAUGAUCUGAGUUCAGACCGGCGUAAGCCAGGUUGGUUUCUAUCCUUAAUAUUAAAAAUAAAUUAGUACGAAAGGACCAUUUAUUUAUAAAAUUUAUAUUUAAUAUGAAUAAAAUU